AGUUUUUAAAUCCUACCUGGUGAUCAUGAUUCGAUAAAUUAACGAGCAUUGUUUAAUAAAUUGACAGUUGCAAGGUGAGCUAUUCGGACUGAUCUUCAAUCUCAUAGUCGGAGACAAACUAACAAUGCCAUUGCAAAAAAAAAACCAUCAACAAAAACAUAACAAAAAAAGAAACCAACAAAAACGAACAGACGAAUUACAGUGUACAAAACACAACAUAUAAGACAAAAGACUGAGCAAAUGAUUUCGAUUGCUUUAUAUGCUUAAAUAAUCCGAACCAAUUUUGCCUUAAAUAGGUCUUCUAUCAAUGACUGGUUUCAUGCAAAACCUACAAGAAUAUAACAAAGCAAGUAUUUCACAUAAGCUUAUAAGUUAUAUGAGUUCAAUGACAGUCCAUAAAACAUUUGACAGUUUAGAGAUUUUAGAAUAUCAUAAUCAAAUUGAACUAAAC
rnacentral:lncRNA from 1 species